AUUGCUGGUUGUUCUUGGGAGAUGUGUUUAUGGGUUUUUGUCCAAGUAUUUGUUUACAGGAGAUCAGGAAUGAAAACCUGGCUCUAGCAGGAUUCCUGUGAAAGACCAUUCUACUCCUCACCACAGGCGGGAGAAGAGGCUGUGAAGGAAUUGUAUUCGGCCUGGGGUAGGGUGUCCGGGCUGGAUUGGCGCUGUGCGGCGUGCGGUGUUACAUAACCCUGGGCGGUCUAACUUCACGCAGGACUGCAGCGGCGGCCGCAUGGAUGGCGCGAACAGCACCUGGGGAACCGAGACACCUGCUCCAGACCACCCGCGGGGCAGGGCCGGGGAACUCCAACAAGAAACCUGGGGAAAUAACCAGCCAAACCCGACGGAGGGACCUUCUACACACAACUCGCUGGUGCCCCUCAAGAAUGUCAAUUUCAUCAAAAGCACAAGGAGGCUGAGGAAUUGUCCCAGAGUCAAGGGUGUGAGAGGCAUGACAACAAAAUGAAGCUUCUGAUCCUGGACUGGCUCCUGGAUCCAAAAGUGAUGAUCAUCAGAUUGCAAAAGAUAAAACAAAUGCUUUCGUUAAGCCUUGGAUGAGAGAAAAUAUUAUGAGAACUCCUGACUGCUAGAAAUGCUGACAUAAUUGAGCCACUAUCUGUAAUUGCUGUGGGCAAGAAGAUCAUGGGUAAUCACAAGAUAUUUUUAAUGCAUUUAUUCAACAAAAAUUUAUUGAGACCCUUCCUAAGUAACCAGUACUGUCCUAAGCACUGGGGAUAAAAAGAGAAACUAGACAUGGUUCUUAGAGAAGGGGGAAACCCAGCAGACAAUAGAAUAAACCCUAGGAAAGUGUAAUGACACAGAUUUGUACAGGACAUCAUCAGGUGACCAGAGCUGCCAUGAGCAUGGGCUUAAUCCAUCAGACAUACCAGAGGUUGAUACUGGCUCUGCCAUUUACAAGCCAUGUGGAUCUGCAAAAAUGAUUCAACUACUGUGGCCCUCAUUCUACAUUUGGGAGUAACAUCUGCCUCAUAGGCUUGUAGAAAUUAAAUGAGAUAAUGUAAGUAAAUGCCUUACUUAACACAAUGCCUGGCACAGAGGUAGCACUCAAUAAAAUGGUAAUAAUUGGGGUUAUUAUAUCUAUAAAGUAUGUAUUGGUGAUAUUAAU